rnacentral:miRNA from 1 species
GAAGUUUCCUCAGGAUAGUGGCGCUUUCGCAGAUCGACUCGUCCCGCAGUUUUAUCCGGUUAAAGCGAAUGAAUAGAGGUCUUGGGGCCGAAACGAUCUCAAC